UGGGGAAUAUUGCACAAUGGGCGCAAGCCUGAUGCAGCCAUGCCGCGUGUAUGAAGAAGGCCUUCGGGUUGUAAAGUACUUUCAGCGGGGAGGAAGGGAGUAAAGUUAAUACCUUUGCUCAUUGACGUUACCCGCAGAAGAAGCACCGGCUAACUCCGUGCCAGCAGCCGCGGUAAUACGGAGGGUGCAAGCGUUAAUCGGAAUUACUGGGCGUAAAGCGCACGCAGGCGGUCUGUCAAGUCGGAUGUGAAAUCCCCGGGCUCAACCUGGGAACUGCAUUCGAAACUGGCAGGCUAGAGUCUUGUAGAGGGGGGUAGAAUUCCAGGUGUAGCGGUGAAAUGCGUAGAGAUCUGGAGGAAUACCGGUGGCGAAGGCGGCCCCCUGGACGAAGACUGACGCUCAGGUGCGAAAGCGUGGGGAGCAAACAGG
rnacentral:rRNA from 1 species